rnacentral:tRNA from 1 species
GGUCCCGUAGCUCAGUUGGAUAGAGCAACUGAUUUCUAAUCAGUCGGUCUUUGGUUCGAAUCCAAACGGGAUCA